ensembl:lncRNA
UUUUUCUUUUCUUUUUUUUUUUUACAGACAGGAUAUCACUUUGUUGCUCAGGCUGGAGCACAGUGGCAUGAUCAUGGCUUACUGCAGUCUUGAACUCCUAGGCUCAACUGAUGUGAUACUUCUACCCAAGCCUCCCAAAGUACUGGGAUUACAGACACAACGUAGUAAUAAUUUUUUUUUAAGACAAGGUAUUACUCUGUCGCCCACUUCGGAGUGCAGUGGCACAAUCAGCUCACCGUAACCUUAAAGUCCUGGGUUUGAGGGAUCCUCCUGCCUCAGCCUCCUGAGUAGCUGCGACUACAGGCAGGUACCACCACACUUGCCUAAUUUUUUUUGUAGAACAGAAUCUUGCUUUGUUGCCCGGGCUGGUUUCCAACUCCUGGGCUCAAGGGAUCCUCCCACCUCAGCCUCCCAAAGUGUUGGGAUUACAGGUGUGAGCCAGUGUGCCCAGCUCAAGAAUAAUUUUUUAAAAGUCUGAGCUAAAAGAAUCAUAACAACUAAUACACAACACUAACAUUAUUACUGUAACACCGAGACAACUUUUUUUCUCCAAGGGCCAAGGUGAUCCGAGGCCUUUUCUUUCACUCAACUCAGGAAUCACUUAUGGCCCAUUGGGGCUAAAAUGUGAAGCCAACAGGGAACUCAGGUGUCCAAGGCAACAAAUUGUUACUGAAUUAGCUUCCUUUUAUUGAUUGAUUGAUUGAGACGGAGUCUCGCUCUGUCGCCCAGGCUGGAGUGCAGUGGUGUGAUCUUGGCUCACUCCAAGCUCAGCCUCCUGGGUUCAUGCCAUUCUCCUGCCUCAGCCUCCUGAGUAGCUGGGACUACAGGCGCCCACCACCAUGCCCAGCUAAUUUUUUGUGUUUUUAGUAGAGACAGGGUUUCACCGUGUUAGCCAAGAUGGUCUCAAUCUCCUGACCUCGUGAUCCGCCCCCUUGGCCUCCCAAAGUGCUGGGAUUACAGGCGUGAGCCACUGCGCCCGGCCACGCCUGGCUAAUUUUUAUAUUUUUAGUAGAGAUGGGGUUUUGCCAUGUUGGCCAGGCUGGUCUCGAACUCUUGACCUCAGGUGAUCCACCCACCUCGGCCUCCCAAAGUGCUGGGAUUACAGGCGUGAGCCACCAUGCCUGGCCAGCUUCCUUUUAGUUAGGUCACCUAUAUCGCCUACCUUCCCCUGAAAGGAUAGUCCUUGUUUUUGUUUCUAAGUGCUAAAUUUUGAAAGUUACCUAAAAGGGUCUCUAGCAUCAUCAUAAAGUCCAAAAAAUAUUUUACCGACAGGGCUGGCUUUUAAAAAAUGAGUUAAUACAUAUAAGAGUGGUUGGUACUCCAUAAACUGCUUGCAGACCUAAAUCGCUGUUGUGAAAUGCCUUUAAUUGUUACGCUGCCCACUCCCACCCUUGGCUUGCUACGCCUCUAUUUGGUCGUCGCACCUCAUCGCGGCCUCCUACGCCCCGCACGCGACCCCCUCCAAGUUCCCGCCUCUUUUUACUCAGGCCCCUCCUUCCACUCAUAUCCCCGGGCCCUGGCUUGGCCCCGAGACGCAUGCGCACUAGGGAAGGUAGGCGGAGUCUUAAGGACGAGGGAGGAGGAGCAGGGAAACCC